GCCCCGGUAGCUCAGUAGGUCGCUAGGCACGCGUCGGUGUGUUGGUCUGUAAAGAGCGCAUGGCUGUUAACCAUGAGGUACUGUUACCGGGCAUAUCGGUUGUUCGAGUCAACCCUGGGGCG
rnacentral:tRNA from 1 species